CAGCAGCCGCGGUAAUACGAAGGGGGCUAGCGUUGCUCGGAAUUACUGGGCGUAAAGGGAGCGUAGGCGGGUCGUUUAGUCAGAGGUGAAAUCACGGGGCUCAACCUCGGAACUGCCUUUGAUACUGGCGACCUUGAGUAUGGGAGAGGUGAGUGGAACUCCGAGUGUAGAGGUGAAAUUCGUAGAUAUUCGGAAGAACACCAGUGGCGAAAGCGACUCACUGGCCCAUUACUGACGCUGAGGCUCGAAAGCGUGGGGAACAAACAGGAUUAGAUACCCGAGUAGUCCCUGUCUCUUAUAA
rnacentral:rRNA from 1 species